ensembl:lncRNA
CACGCAUUUCCAAUCGUCGCUGGUGAAAUCCAUGAAGACGUCGCCAUUAUCCUCGUGUGGCUUUGAAAGGAGGACCGAAGUCUCCAAAAAUCAGUGCAUGUGAUGCUGCUGAAAGACUUGUAAUCUUUCAUAAGUCAUGCUGCAGUUUGGAGGAGCACCUCAACAACAUCCAGCAUCAGCAUCCCUACCUCCUUGCUGUUGGACGCCAGAAAAGCAAGACUGAGUGCUUCUACAUCAUCUUGGAUAAGCAUCUCAUCCCAUGCCAGGCAAACCGCUCCCUUGGAGCAUUUGAUGAACUUUUCAAGGCACAUUUUGUGUUCAAUUUAUCCUAUGAUAGUGCACUUCUAAACUUUUACACAUUCCUGCAGACAACAGUGUAUAACAUUGAUGUAGGUAAGAUGAAGGAGUCUCCCAGGGUUAGAGAUUUGAGAGCCAGACUGCUCAACCAGACAGUAACCUUAACUUAAAGUCGGGCAGUAUGAUGUUGACAGAAUGCUGAUCUGUUUUAUUUGUCAAAAAGAGCACCCAGAGAGUCAACAGUUGAUUUCCCAUUUAAGAGGUGAACAUAGUUAUUAUCCUGGAUCUAAGUUCAAAUUAAUUUGUUCUCAGCAAGGUUGUAGGCAUCAGUUCCAAACAUAUGCAGGUUUUCGUAAGCACCUUAAUAGUGUUCAUAGCAGCAUUCAGCUGAUUGCUCCAACUUCAACUGUUGGAUGUUCCUCAAGUGAGCCAGUUGCAAGCUCAUCUCAUGCUUUGGAGGACCUUAUGAAUCCCCAGCAUUUAUCUCCUUGUUCCAGUGCUUUAUCUGAUAACAAUGAUUCAGGGCUUACUAAAAAUUCAACUAAAGAAUUGUGUGAAUCCAUUGUGGCCAAAAUACAAGCAAGUGGGAUUUCAAACAGUUUGGUGUCCUCAAUUGUCGGAGAUUUAGAGGAGCUAACAGAUGAGCUUAACUCUCAGGCAAAGCAUAACAUACUUUCUGCUUUGCCUACAAAUGACCCCC